CAACAACAAAGAACAGAGCAUCACGUGGCAUUAGGUUCCACAGACAGCAGCUGGCCUCAUCAGCACGGGCUCUCAUCACGCAGGCACCAGUGGGGCCCAGUGGGGACGGCACAGGCAUGCAUGGGCGUGCAUGUCAGCCAUAGCAGGUGCAGAGAAUGUGGCAUGUCUUGGUCUGGUUUUCAAGAGCAAUCUCACUGCUCCUUGCUGCACCUGCUGAAGCUCUGUCACUCCCAGCCCUGACUCUGGGAGCAGAGGGGUGUCUCCUGACAGGGGUACCUCCUGCCUUGACACAGAACUACCAUCACAGAUGCACGCCAGCCCAGCUUUGCUUGGUGGAGAGCUCCCAGCUGGUGCAUUCUCAUCGGGUCGCACCCCAGGGUUUUAGAUUGGGUAAGUCUGCUGUCGAAAAAUGCUGAGUCCUCCUCCAUCUGGGAAUGUCUUCGUUUCUCUUCAUUUCUGAAGAAUAUUUUCACAGGACAGACUUCUGAAUCAGAAUCUUUUUUUAAGUAUAUGAAAAAUGUUAUGCUGCUUCCUAUGGCCUCCGUGGUCCUGACAGAAAAUCUGCAGUCAUACCCACAGUUUUCCCUGGUGGGUAAGAUGCCACUUCUCUCUCAUUGUUUUCAAGAUCUCUCCUCGGUCUUUAUUUUCCAUAAGUUUGACCAUGAUGCGUAUUGCUAAGGACAUAUUAAGUUUUAUUGGUUUGGGUUCACUCAGCUUCUUGAAUCUGUAGAUUUGCUUCUUUUACAAAAUUUCAAACAUGUUAAUCCACUGUUUCUUCAAAUCUUUCUUCUUCCCCAUGCUCCUCCCUCU
ensembl:lncRNA